rnacentral:rRNA from 1 species
AUUGAACGCUGGCGGCAGGCCUAACACAUGCAAGUCGGGCGAGCGGCGGACGGGUGAGUAAUGUAUGGGGACAUGCCUGAUGGAGGGGGAUAACUACUGGAAACGGUAGCUAAUACCGCAUACCAUCAGAUGAACCCAUAUGGGAUUAGCUUGUAGGUAAGGUAACGGCUUACCUAGGCGACGAUCCCUAGCGGGUCUGAGAGGAUGAUCAGCAACACUGUGACUGAGAAACGGCCAAGACUCCAACGGGGGGCAGAAGGGGGGAAUAUUGGACAAUGGGGGAAAGCCGGAAGCAGCAAGGCGGGGUGGUUGAGGAAGGCCUUCGGGUUGUAAAGUACGUUAAGUCGGGAGACGUUACCGACAGAAGAAGCACCGGCUAACUCCGUGCAAGCAGCCGCGGUAAUU